rnacentral:lncRNA from 1 species
AUCCAACAUGCAAUACAACAACAACAAACCAAAUGUAAAUACUUUCAGAAGUGUACAACACAUACAAAAUGUCCAACAAAAGUAAAAACUACAACAAUAGUUUCAAAAGUGUACAAACUACAACAAAAUAUCUAAAUUCAAAGUACAACACAUACAAAAGUCCAAAAACUAAAAAUCACCUUCAUCGAAUUCAUCCUCGUCUUCCAUAUCCUCAUCGGUGCUGAUAUCAGCCAGGGAGCGUAGACCUUUUGCAGCCCGAACUGCAUCACCACGAAACGGAAAAUAAUUCCUAUAGUCUGAAUGAAAGAGCUGAACUACUCCUGCAGCAUCCUGAUUUGGGAUAAUGUCUCCUCCUCAUUCUUUUGCGCUCUUUCUCUCUGUUCAACAAUCUCUUCAGUGAGUCCCUACACUUAACCAUUUUCAAGCGACUUCAUCACCGAACAAACCACUUUCAAAACCAAAAAAAUCCCCUUUAAAGUACCUAUACUUAACCAUUUUCAAGUAACUAACCACCUAAACGACAUUCAAAACAAAAAAAUCUCCUUUAAAGUCCCUAUGCUUAACCAUUUUCUCGUAACUAAGUCACCAACCAAACGACAUUCAAACCAAAAAAUAUCCUUUAAAGUCCCUACACUUAACCAUUUUCAAGUAACUAAGUCACCAACCAAACGGCGUUCAAACGAAAAAAAUACCCUUUAAAGUCCCUACGCGUAACCAUUUUCAAGCAACUACAUCACCGAACAAACCACUUUCAAAACAAAAAAUAUCCCCUUUGAAGUCCCUACACUUAACCAUUUUCAUGCGACUUCAUCACCGAACAAACCACUUUCAAAACAAAAAAUAUCCCCUUUGAAGUCCCUACACUUAACCAUUUUCAAGUAACUAACCAACCAAACGACAUUCAAACCAAAAAAAUCCCCUUUAAAGUCCCUACACUUAACCAUUUUCAAGCAACUACAUCACCGAACAAACCACUUUCAAAACAAAAAAUAUCCCCUUUAAAGUACCUAUAUUUAACCAUUUUCAAGUAACUAACCAACCAAACGACAUUCAAACCAAAAAAAUCUCCUUUAAAGUCUCUAUGCUUAACCAUUUUCUCGUAACUUAGUCACCAACCAAACAAUAUUCAAACCAAAAAAUACCCUUUAAAGUCCCUACACUUAACCAUUUUCAAGUAACUAAGUCACCAACCAAACGAUAUUCAAACCAAAAAAUACCCGUUAAAGUCCCUACGCGUAAUCAUUUUCAAGCGACUAAGUCACCAAACAAACCACUUUCAAAAAAAAAAAUCCCCUUUAAAGUACCUAUACUUAACCAUUUUCAAGUGACUAAGUCACCAACCAAAUGACAUUCAAACCAAAAAAAUCCCCUUUAAAGUCCUACACUUAACCAUAUUCAAGCGACUAACUCACCAAACAAACCACUUUCAAAACAAAAAAAUCCCCUUUAAAGUACCUAUACUUAACCAUAUUCAAGCAACUAAGUCACCAACCAAACGACAUUCAAACUAAAAACAUCUCCUUUAAAGUCCCUACGCUUAACCAUUUUCUCGUAACUAAGUCACCAACUAAACGGCAUUCAAACAAAAAAAUACCCUUUAAAGUCCUUACGCGUAACCAUUUUCAAGCGACUAAGUCACCAAACAAACUACUUUCAAAACAAAAAAUCCCCUUUAAAGUUCCUACACUUAACCAUUUUCAAGCGACUAAGUCACCAAACAAACCACUUUCAAAACAAAAAAUCCCCUUUAAAGUACUUAACCAUUUUCAAGUGACUAAUUAAGUCACCAACCAAACAACAUUCAAACCAAAAAAAUCCCCUUUAAAGUCUCUACACUUAACCAUUUUCAAGCGACUAAGUCACCGAACAAAGCAAAAAUCCCCUUUAAAGUACCUAUACUUAACCAUUUUCAAGUAACUAAGUCACCAACCAAACGACAUUCAAACCAAAAAAUAUACUUUAAAAUCCCCACACUUAACCAUUUUCAAGUGACUAAGUCACCAACCAAACCACAUUCAAAAUAAAAAAAUCUUCUAAAAUCCCUACGCUUAACCAUUUUCUCGUAACUAAGCCACCAACCAUGGAUAGACACACCCAAUGUUGCAAUAAUUCCUCAAACAAAAGAUAAACAACAAAUCAGUUUCUUAUCAAAUAUUCACCUAAAUAACUAAAUUUUCUUUUCUUCUUUUUCUUGAGUUCACUAUAAUUAGUUGAACAUUCACAAAAAUGUCUAGAGUGCAUUGUAAGCUAGAUAUUCUUGUACAAUCCAACUAAGGGACAUGCUCCUAGACACUUCUAUUUACCUUUAUGCUAAAUCUACCCAAAUCUUUCAAGUAAAAGAAUGCAAUUGCUAAGAAGAAUUGUCAAAUGAUAAAAUGAAGUACAAGCCAUUUGCCUUCUUCUCCACAUGUCCACAAGUUCAACAACUCAUUAGUGCAGAGAGGCUUCACAAGAUAGUCAGUUGCUCUAAAUUUGAGGCACUUGACGACAAUAGAGACUUCAUCUUGUGAUGGCAUCACAAGGAAAGAAAAAAAAUAUUUAUUGCUUUACACUGCACGGAUGAACAUGAAUCAAAAGAAAUUUUGACGAAGUCUCCAAUUAAACUUUAUCAAUUUUAGAUUACGAAACUUGUUAAAUAAAUAUAAAAUAUUUUGAGACUUUAGAGCAUGGAAUUAAACCUGAGAUGGGUUCAAAGCCCAUCAUUUUUCGACGAAACUUGACCAGAGAAGCGGCGAGGCGGCAACGUCGAUCGGGGAGAGAGGCAGUGAUGGUUAUUGGUUUCGUUGGCUGGUGGUGAAAGAGGUUGUUGACUCGGAGGGAGGCGCUGCUUCGCUCUUGGUCAGACGGUGUAAGAGGAUGGACGAGGGGAUCCUUCAGCCAUGGUGGCUG